UACAGAGGAGCCAAGCGUUGUCCGGAUUGACUGGGCGUAAAGCGCACGCAGGCGGACGCGCGCGUGGGGUGUGAAAUCUGGCCGCUUAACGGCCGGGCGCCAUCCCAUACGGCGGGUCUGGAGCCUUGCAGAGGUCGGUGGAAUUGCCGGUGUAGUGGUGAAAUGCGUAGAGAUCAGGAAGAACACCGGUGGCGAAAGCGUUCUGCUAGACCUGUACUGACACUGAGGGACGAAAGCUAGGGGAGCGAAUGGG
rnacentral:rRNA from 1 species